GGGGGGGGUGACUCCAAAGCCGAUAGAUCUGCCACAUUACUCAAGCUGACAACACAUGUUCCAUUGAUUCUGACAAGACAAUGCAUUGAGAAACACAAAAAUUGUGUCCAUAUUAAGACAGAUGUAAAGAAAGAGUUGAAAGAUGUUUCUGAAGUAAGACAGUCAUACCCCUGCUUUCCAAGGAACCAAACAAUUACUUUCCUUGUAUUGACAUGGUGAAAAAUGGGGAGGGUCCAGAAAAUGACAAAUACCUCCAGAAUGUCAUCAGUGAUAUUGUUGCAAUUGAAUGUAACCAAUUAUUAUCCAAUAUAUAUUAUCUAUGACUGAACUCAUAAGUGGUUAAGGAAAACUGUUUUAUUUUUUUUAGUCACUGCUUGGAGGUUAUUUUACAUCUCUCAGGAUUUUCUAGAUGUCAGAUUUCCUAAAACUCACACUUGUGCUUUAAUUUUUUUUUUUUUUGUUGGUAUAAAUGUACAGAAAAAUUGAAUGUUCUUCUAUAGGAUAGUUUUGCCAAUAGUUUCAGUUGAAAGUUACAACAAAAAAGAAGAAAAAAAAGAAAAAAAGAAUUGCAAUGAUUAAAUCUCUAUGUUUAUAAUG